rnacentral:rRNA from 1 species
UACAGAGGGUGCGAGCGUUGUCCGGAAUCAUUGGGCGUAAAGCGCGUGUAGGCGGCUUUGCAAGUCGGGGGUGAAAGCCCGAGGCUCAACCUCGGAACUGCCUUCGAUACUGCGGGUCUCGAGUCCGGGAGAGGUGAGUGGAAUUCCUAGUGUAGAGGUGAAAUUCGUAGAUAUUAGGAAGAACACCAGUGGCGAAGGCGGCUCACUGGCCCGGUACUGACGCUGAGGCGCGAAAGCGUGGGGAGCAAACAGG